UACGACUACAUAUCAGGCAUAUCAAUAAGCGGAGGAAAAGAAACUAACAAGGAUUCCCCUAGUAACGGCGAGUGAAGCGGGAAGAGCUCAAAUUUGAAAUCUUAAAGGGUUUCCCUUUACGAAUUGUAGUUUAAAGAAGUGUUUUCUGUUGGAGUUUCGGUAAAAGUUCUUUGGAAUAGGACAUCAUAGAGGGUGAGAAUCCCGUAUUUGACCGUUACUUUCCAGCUGUGUGAUACACUUUCAAAGAGUCGGAUUGUUUGGGAAUGCAGUCCAAGAUGGGUGGUAAAUUUCAUCUAAAGCUAAAUAUUGGCGAGAGACCGAUAGCGAACAAGUACCGUGAGGGAAAGAUGAAAAGAACUUUGAAAAGAGAGUUAAACAGUACGUGAAAUUGUCAAAAGGGAAGCGUUUGACACCAGUGUUGCUUAGUUGAAAAUCAAUUCAAUAGUUUUUGAUUCUAAGUAGUAUUGACUUCAUCAGCUUGCUGCUUUCUUCUCAGAAAUUAUUGAAUGCACUUUUCAGUUAACAAGUCAACAUCAAUUUCUUUUGUUGUAAAAGGGUAAGAGGAAGGUGGCUUGCGCUUCGGCUCAAGUGUUUAUAGCCUUUUAUCUCUGCAAUCGGAGAGAUUGAGGUCUGCAGCGUAGAUCCUUCGGGGUUAGAUACAUUGGUGCUAAGCUAUAGCCUUGUAUGGACAACUUGUUGACUAUGCUCAGUCAUGUAGCUUACUCGCUGAUGCUAUUUUACCUACGCUUAGGAUGUUGAGUAGCGACAUACGCAC
rnacentral:rRNA from 1 species